rnacentral:rRNA from 1 species
AAGGAAUAGCCUCGGGAAACUGAGGGUAAUACCUUAUACGCCCUUCGGGGGAAAGAUUUAUCGGAGAAGGAUUAGCCCGCGUUAGAUUAGGUAGUUGGUGGGGUAAUGGCCUACCAAGCCUACGAUCUAUAGCUGGUUUGAGAGGAUGAUCAGCCACACUGGGACUGAGACACGGCCCAGACUCCUACGGGAGGCAGCAGUAGGGAAUCUUAGACAAUGGGGGAAACCCUGAUCUAGCCAUGCCGCGUGUGUGAUGAAGGCCUUAGGGUCGUAAAGCACUUUCGCCAGAGAUGAUAAUGACAGUAUCUGGUAAAGAAACCCCGGCUAACUCCGUGCCAGCAGCCGCGGUAAUACGGAGGGGGUUAGCGUUGUUCGGAAUUACUGGGCGUAAAGCGUACGUAGGCGGAUUAGUAAGUUAGAGGUGAAAUCCCAGGGCUCAACCCUGGAACUGCCUUUAAUACUGCUAGUCUUGAGUUCGAGAGAGGUAAGUGGAAUUCCGAGUGUAGAGGUGAAAUUCGUAGAUAUUCGGAGGAACACCAGUGGCGAAGGCGGCUUACUGGCUCGAUACUGACGCUGAGGUACGAAAGUGUGGGGAGCAAACAGGAUUAGAUACCCUGGUAGUCCACACCGUAAACGAUGAAUGCCAGACGUCAGCAAGUAUACUUGUUGGUGUCACACCUAACGGAUUAAGCAUUCCGCCUGGGGAGUACGGUCGCAAGAUUAAAACUCAAAGGAAUUGACGGGGGCCCGCACAAGCGGUGGAGCAUGUGGUUUAAUUCGACGCAACGCGCAGAACCUUACCAACCCUUGACAUCCUGUGCUACUACCAGAGAUGGUACGUUCCCUUCGGGGACGCAGUGACAGGUGCUGCAUGGCUGUCGUCAGCUUGUGUCGUGAGAUGUUCGGUUAAGUCCGGCAACGAGCGCAACCCACAUCUUUAGUUGCCAUCAGGUUAUGCUGGGCACUCUAGAGAAACUGCCCGUGAUAAGCGGGAGGAAGGUGUGGAUGACGUCAAGUCCUCAUGGCCCUUACGGGUUGGGCUACACACGUGCUACAAUGGCAGUGACAAUGGGUUAAUCCCCAAAAGCUGUCUCAGUUCGGAUUGGGGUCUGCAACUCGACCCCAUGAAGUCGGAAUCGCUAGUAAUCGCGUAACAGCAUGACGCGGUGAAUACGUUCCCGGGCCUUGUACACACCGCCCGUCACACCAUGGGAGUUGGUUCUACCCGACGACGCUGCGCUAACCCUUCGGGGAGGCAGGCGGCCACGGUAGGAUCAGCGACUGGGGUG